GUCUACUGGCUGAUAGGUUUCAGAGUUCACUUAUUUAGUUUUUCUGGCCUUCUUGCCUAGUCUGAGUGGUCCCUCGAGGUCAACGUCCAUCCUCAUACUGUGAGGUACUCACGCCCAACGGCCACCUCAUAGUUAAUCACCUCUUGGUAUAGAGAGAGCAUCACCCUGUCAUUCCCAUGCUAUCUUUUGCUUUACUGGUCACAGAAAGGCAGUCACCCCGCCAUAUUUUCAGUGGCCACAAAAUCCCCUCGGGCCAACACAUAGCUAGAGCCUCUCAUGCCACUUGGCAAUUAGUAGGGCUCCCCUCUCCAUUAUUAGUUAAUUUUUUCACCACUUGGCAUUAGAUAAGCUAGCCAGGCUUUGGGGGGGUUUGGCCAAAUGAAGUGUACAAUGUACCAGAUUUUUCCACCAUUUCACUUUGGUAACUCAUGAAUUUUUUGUCCUAUCCUAGCAUGUCUCAAUGACCAGAAGCUAUUGAGGAUUUAUCAAUUCCCAGCACUCCUCCAAGGUCAAUCUCUUCAUCUCAUGGAGAUGGAUCACGGCCGAAUUAAGGCGCAGGAAUAUUCCCUACCCUGCCACUGCCAGGAAGGCAGAACUUUAUAAACUACUCAAUACCAACACUGAUAAGACCGGUGCUGGCGAAGGACCCAGUGCUGCCCAGUCAUCCGACCUCCAGGCCGUCCUGUCAUCAGUCUUGUCCUCGUUGGGACAGAUUACUGAUAGGUUGGAACGUUUGGAUGCUAAUGAUAGGCCAGUGGCACCAUCUGGAUUGGUUACUCCAGAACCUACUGGUCUCUCAGGCACCCUGACUGGUAAAUGUAUUGGUCCACUACAGAACCCUAAAAUUAUCAACCCAGCUCACAUGGUACCAGCAAAUAUUAGGAAUGAUAUCUUGGAAGACAAGGAUGUCAAUCUAGUUUCGCUGCCGAUUGCCUCCCAAGAUAUUCUGGAGAACAAGACAUAUUCUUAUGGCGAUAUCGCUGUCCUACUGAAGGCUAGGGACUACAGGUUGAAUAGGAAGUUAUAAAUUCCUGAGUUCGUCCUGGCCUUUGGUAUUUAAAGGGACAUGGAUGUGCUCAGUUUAUCCCGAGCUCAGAGAGAAAUUCGACCCCUAUUUACACAAGUUGGUGGACCUGAUGCAUAAGUAUGGAGGCACAUCAUUUUAUGAUUACAACAGAUCUUUCUCCGCAAAGGCGUCUGCAGCCCUGGCUCACUUCAAUUUUCAGACGGACUGGAGCCAGUUGGACAUGGAGCUGUUUUGCAGGCACUUCGCGUGCCUCAGGUCCCCAGCUUGUGGUAUUUGCUUUUCAUCCUCACAUUUCAUGAACCUAUGUCCUAAUACCCCGGAGCUGGGUGCUACCUUUCCUU